CUCAACCAUAAUUUACCUCCAGCAGAUCUAGUUUCACCUACACCCGCCCCAUGCAGCCCCUUCCCCUGGAGAAUUUUGCAAUGAGAAUUGUACCCCAGCUAGGAAUUGUUUGCUGGGACUGCAUAUGUGCAGGGGGCGGGGCGGGGGUGUGUGGUUCUGUAGCAGUCAACCCGACAUCUUCAGAGGGGAAUAAACAGUAGGGGGAGAGGAUCGUGGUAGGACUGUGGCAGCAUCUAUCGCUUCUGUGUUGCUUUUUGGAAUGUUCCCACUGACCACCUCAAAUCGCCUCGCUUCAGUCACACAGGCAAACCUAAUUAAGCUUCUGUCGUUAUAAAGACAAAUGAUUAUUUGAGGAUGUGAAAGAAACAGAAGACAAGUAUUAAAACGGUACCAUGAUGGAUGUAGUUGGAUCUCUACUCACAUCCCCUUUUCCUGGAUGGUACACGCAGCCCCACCUGCAGCGACAGACUCACCAGACUCUAAAAGAACUGCCCCCACCACCGACAGCAGAAACCUUACGAACUAUAGACUGUGAUUUCAGCAACUCAGGAGCAGACUCUAGGAGAUCUAGGAUCCCUAAGGAUCAACAGGAAGGGGCUGAAAGUGGGGAAACACGAGGCCGAAAUAUGAGUGGCCUGCAUCAACCACAGACGAGAAUCUAAAACAGCGGUGGUAUACGACGUGAAAAUGGAAUUCAGCAUGUAAAAGUUGACAGAGGAGAAGCACCGUGGAGGCACUGGACCAGACCAUGAGGCCAAUAAGCACGGCAUCAGAGAUGGACCACAGGACGAAAAUGUCUGUAAAGGGACUUGAGGAUGAACAGAACCACUUCCCUUGGGGGUCAGUUUCAUUUCCCUUGUACUGUGGACCAGUGAUUGUCACAGGAACAGAGAUAUUUAGUAAGAAACUUAACAUCCAGCAUUGUGCAACAGGAAGGACCAAUGACCUUGGGGGCUCUUCCUCUGGGCAUCAUCCCCUCCACUCUCCUGGGGAUGAGGGUGAAGGACUGAUAGGUGCUCAGGACACAGGUGGAGCACAGGGUGGUGCUGCCAGCCACUCUCUGUGUAUAAUAUACAAAUGUACACACAAGACUGGGCAGGGGAUUCCUUGAAACAAAAGCUGUCAUUGUGUGGGGGAAUCCCAGAGGAAAAGAGGACCAGGAGAUUGGUCACGGCCAUGUGGGUGAGGAUCACGUGUGUGGGUCUCUGCCUGUGGCCAAGCCAGAUGGGAGAGAUGCUGAGGAAGAAAAGGAUGACAUUGGCCAGAGUCCCAACCACCAUCUGUAACAGCAAGAUGGUGGUCAGGACCACCUCCCCUUGGUUUCUCAGGGCAUCUUUGUGAAAAGACAUGGAGAGGACUUCAGAGUGUCCUGGGCAGAAAGGAGUCUUCUUACACAACCAAGAUUGGAAGAGGAUUUUUGGUCUUUUCCUCUCCUGAAAAGGGGAACACUGUCAUACUUCACAGGAGGUGCUGAAUCUGGAGAACAUACACAUGAUACCAGUUACACUUUUUACUCUUAUUAUUUUGUAUCUAUUUCUAUUUACUUGUAUAUCCUGAUUCUUCACCUGCAUGUAAGGUCCAUGAACUUGGGAAGCAUGUUCAAUAACAUGGUUGACCCAUAAUAGGUGUUCAGUAAUAUGUACUGAAUAUAUAAAUAUGUGACAGGAGACAGAGACAAGGAUAUACUCUACCUCCCUUAGAAUUCAUGGUAAUUCUGCCUAUUUUAAGAAUUUAUUAACUGGAGAAAAUGAAAGAAAAAAUGGAAAAAUAUCGUUGAGAUAAGACUGUCUAAUUUUAAUAGAGUUGCAAGCGAAUCAGUUGUCCACAUUUGAGCACUCCUAUUUCAUUGGAGUUACUGGACACAAAAUAAUUAAAAAAAAUGAGUGUGGACUUCAGGUUUCCAGUCCCUCAUGCAAGGAGCUUGGAAGUUACCACUCCAUCCUAACAACAAGUAAAACACUGCGUAGACUUAAAAUUCAUGCAUCAGUAAGAGAGGAGAGAAAACAAAGGACAUCACUGCCUCCAAGUUUGGAGAGAUGGACCAGUGAUUGGGUGAAUCAAGGCUUAUUGGAGCAGAGACCCAUGAGUGGAAACACCUCAGGAACAAGACAUGGGGGUAGGAAAAUAUGCGCUAUAACCGAUGGGGAAAAAAGUCCCUUUGUGAUUUCGGUGGGGGGAUGGGGAAGAAACCACUUUGUAAUAACCAGAGCACUGGGUUCUUCUUAACAACGUCUGCCUUCAGGAGAGACUAGUUAACUGGAGCCUAACCAGCUCAGGGUUUUCACGGAGCCUGACCAACCUGGGAAGGGAAAUUCCCGACUCCAGCCCACUCUAGCCAUCCUGUCCCACCCAAGGGGCAGAAAAAACAGAGAAACCGCUGUGAUGUUCACAGGCCAGAGGCACAGGCUCACUGAGAGACUGAGACCCACUCACAGGAUAUAGCAGCUCCCUCUCUCCCCACACCUCACCACCUCCUCACUAAAGGUUUACUAACAGUAGUUCCUUUCACCUGGUACAUCAUGUCCAGGUAUCAAGAAAAGAUUACUAGGCAUACUACGAGGCAAAAGAAAAAACUGAAACAGUUUGAAGACACAGAGGAAGCACCAGAUCCGAAUAUGACAGGAAUGUUGGAAUUAAAGUUGGGGAAUGUAAAACAACUGUAAUUCAUAUACUAAGGACUCUAAUGGAUAAAGUAGACAGCCUGCAGGAACAGAUGGGUAAUGUCAGCAGGGAGACGGACAUUCUAAGAGAGAACCAGAAAGAAAUGCUGGAGACCAAAAGCACUGCUGCAGAAAUGAAGAAUGCCUUUGGUGCACUUGUUAGUGGGCUGGAGGACACUGAUGUGGAAAGACUCUCUGAGCUUGAGGACCUAUCAAUAGAAACUUGCAAACUGAAAAGCCAGAACAGAGACUCAAAAAAACACAAAACAGGGACCUCCCUGGUGGUGCAGUGGUUACCUGGCAAUGGAGGGGACACGGGUUUGUGCCCUGGUCUGGGAAGAUCCCACAUGCUGCAGAACAACUAAGCCCAUGAGCCACUACUGAGCCCACAUGCUACAACGACUGAAGUCAGUGUACCUAGAGCCCAUGCCCGGCAACAAGAGAAGCCACUGCAAUGAGAAGCCCACACACCGCAACAAAGAGUAACUUCUACUUGCCACAACUAGAGAAAGCCUGUGUGCAGCAACAAAGACCCAACACAGCCAAUAAAUAAAUAAAAAGAUACAAAGAUAAAAAGAUAAAACACAAAACAGAAUAUCCAAGGACUGCAGGAGAACUACUGAGCGUGUAACACGUGCAUUAUGGGAUUAACACGUGCAUUAUGGGAUUAUCAGAAGGCAAGAAAGAAACAAGGAAUAUUUUAAACGACGACUGAGAAUUUCCCCUAAACAAUGUCAACACCAAAUCACAGAUCCAGGAAGCCCAGAGAACCCCAAAAAGGAUAUCUUCUCUCCAAAACCCUGUCUGUAGGCCUAUCAUAUUCAAAAUACUAUAUGUUCAAAUAUAAAGAAAAAAUCCUUAAAGAAGCUACAGGGGAAGAAAGUUAAGAUUUCCUGCUUCUCAGAAACCAAGCAAGAAGAGAGUGGAUGAAGUAUUUAAAGUAUUGAGAGUAAAAACUCACCAACCUAGAAUUCUGCUCCCUGUAAAAUUAUCCUUCAAAAGUGAAGGAGAAAUAAAGACUUUCUCAGACUAAGUAAGCUGAGGGAAUUUGUUGCCAGUAGACCUGCCUUGGAAGAAAUGCUGAAAGAAGCUUUUUCAAGAGAAGGAAAAGGAUAUUGAUCAGAAAUUUGGAUCUAUACGGAUAAAGGAAGAACACUGAAGAAGGAAUAAGUGAAGGUUAAAGAAGGACAGAAGGGCAUUUCCCCAUUCAAUCAGAGAGAGAAAACUAUGAACAACAACUACACACGCGGCUCAUAGAAGGCAGAGAAUGGAGUUAGAAUAUCUUGGCAGAAAUUAUAGAGAUGACUGCAUCCAGUGAAGUGGGAUUUGAAGGAAAACGUGUACAUCCUCGUAGGGCCGUGUAUUUCUGUUUGUGUGUGUACGUGUCUGUCAUUGGAUCCUUUCUCAUGCUUCAGGAUUUUUACAUUCCAACCGAAACUCUGUAUAUCUGUUAUUCCUCUUCUGUUCACAUCCGACCCUAAUUUGUUAGUUCUGAGAAAAAUCAGGAGACCCUUUCAUACGUGCUUAGGAAGCUCAGUAGCUCUGGCAUACGAGGCUUGGCACAGGUU